GACGAACGCUGGCGGCGUGCUUAACACAUGCAAGUCGAACGGAAAGGCCUGCUUUCCCUUGUGGAUUGCGGGUACUCGAGUGGCGAACGGGUGAGUAACACGUGAGUGAUCUGCCCCCAACUUGGGUAUAAGCCUGGGAGACUGGGUCUAAUUCCCGAUAGGACUGCAGGGUGGUGCCUGUGGUGGAAAACGAUUUUCUAGUGGUUGGGGAUGAGCUCGCGGCCUAUCAGCUUGUUGGUGGGGUAAUGGCCUACCAAGGCGGCGACGGGUAGCCGGCCUGGGAGGGUGGACGGCCACAUUGGGACUGAGAUACGGCCCAGACUCCUACGGGAGGCAGCAGUGGGGAAUAUUGCACAAUGGGCGGAAGCCUGAUGCAGCGACGCCGCGUGGGGGAUGACGGCCUUCGGGUGGUAAACUCCUUUCGACCGCGAGGAAGCCACCUGGUUGGAAGGGUGGUGACGGUAGUGGUAGAAGAAGCACCGGCUAACUACGUG
rnacentral:rRNA from 1 species